GCCAUGCCGCGUGUGUGAAGAAGGCCUUUUGGUUGUAAAGCACUUUAAGCAGUGAAGAAGACCUAACGGUUAAUACCCGUUAGCGAUGACAUUAGCUGCAGAAUAAGCACCGGCUAACUCUGUGCCAGCAGCCGCGGUAAUACAGAGGGUGCAAGCGUUAAUCGGAAUUACUGGGCGUAAAGCGAGCGUAGGUGGCUUGAUAAGUCAGAUGUGAAAUCCCCGGGCUUAACCUGGGAACUGCAUCUGAUACUGUUAGGCUAGAAUAGGUGAGAGGAAGGUAGAAUUCCAGGUGUAGCGGUGAAAUGCGUAGAGAUCUGGAGGAAUACCGAUGGCGAAGGCAGCCUUCUGGCAUCAUAUUGACACUGAGGUUCGAAAGCGUGGGUAGCAAACAGGAUUAGAUACCCUGGUAGUCCACGCCGUAAACGAUGUCUACUAGUCGUUGGGUCCCUUGAGGACUUAGUGACGCAGCUAACGCAAUAAGUAGACCGCCUGGGGAGUACGGCCGCAAGGUUAAAACUCAAAUGAAUUGACGGGGGCCCGCACAAGCGGUGGAGCAUGUGGUUUAAUUCGAUGCAACGCGAAGAACCUUACCUGGUCUUGACAUAUCUAGAAUCUUGUAGAGAUACGAGAGUGCCUUCGGGAAUUAGAAUACAGGUGCUGCAUGGCUGUCGUCAGCUCGUGUCGUGAGAUGUUGGGUUAAGUCCCGCAACGAGCGCAACCCUUGUCCUUAGUUACCAGCGGGUUAAGCCGGGAACUCUAAGGAUACUGCCAGUGACAAACUGGAGGAAGGCGGGGACGACGUCAAGUCAU
rnacentral:rRNA from 1 species